AGAGAUGUGGCAUAGUGGUCAGAGCAUGUGUCUCAAAAGCAUGAGGACCUGAGUUCUAAUCCCAGUACUA
rnacentral:tRNA from 1 species